CUAGUGGUCCUUUCCAAAACUGGCAGAGGAUCCCACCCCAUCAUCCUUGUCUGAUUUGGGAAGUUAAACAGGAUCUGGCCUGGUUAGUACUUGGGUGGGAACCACCAAGAAAUCCCAGUGAUCUCCAGC
rnacentral:rRNA from 1 species